rnacentral:rRNA from 1 species
ACUCCUACGGGAGGCAGCAGUAGGGAAUCUUCCGCAAUGGACGAAAGUCUGACGGAGCAACGCCGCGUGAGUGAUGAAGGUUUUCGGAUCGUAAAGCUCUGUUGUUAGGGAAGAACAAGUGCAAGAGUAACUGCUUGCACCUUGACGGUACCUAACCAGAAAGCCACGGCUAACUACGUGCCAGCAGCCGCGGUAAUACGUAGGUGGCAAGCGUUGUCCGGAAUUAUUGGGCGUAAAGGGCUCGCAGGCGGUUUCUUAAGUCUGAUGUGAAAGCCCCCGGCUCAACCGGGGAGGGUCAUUGGAAACUGGGAAACUUGAGUGCAGAAGAGGAGAGUGGAAUUCCACGUGUAGCGGUGAAAUGCGUAGAGAUGUGGAGGAACACCAGUGGCGAAGGCGACUCUCUGGUCUGUAACUGACGCUGAGGAGCGAAAGCGUGGGGAGCGAACAGGAUUAGAUACCCUGGUAGUCCACGCCGUAAACGAUGAGUGCUAAGUGUUAGGGGGUUUCCGCCCCUUAGUGC